AUGUACAACCUUCCCCCCUGGUUGUGCAUGAAAAGGAAGUACAUUCACAUGAGUAUGCUAACUGAAGGACCGAAACAACCAGGGAACGACAUCAAUCUGUAUCUGGGGCUGCUGAAAGAGGAGCUUGACACGCUGUGGAAAACGCCAGCCAAUACGUGGGACGCCGCAGAGAAAGAAUAUUUCCCUAUGAGAGCCGCGCUGCUCACGGCGGUGCACGACUAUCUCGGUUACGGAUAUGUCGCGGGGCAGGUGGUCCACGGAUUUUCUGGAUGUGUCAGGUGCAUGGAUGACACAAUGUAUCGCCAGCUAGAUAGAGAUCCCAGGUCUUCGAAAACCGUGUUCAUGGGACAUCGAAGGUGGCUUCACGGUGAUGACCCGUGA
rnacentral:rRNA from 1 species